UGGGGAAUAUUGCACAAUGGGCGCAAGCCUGAUGCAGCCAUGCCGCGUGUAUGAAGAAGGCCUUCGGGUUGUAAAGUACUUUCAGCGGGGAGGAAGGCGAUGUGGUUAAUAACCGCGUCGAUUGACGUUACCCGCAGAAGAAGCACCGGCUAACACCGUGCCAGCAGCCGCGGUAAUACGGAGGGUGCAAGCGUUAAUCGGAAUUACUGGGCGUAAAGCGCACGCAGGCGGUCUGUCAAGUCGGAUGUGAAAUCCCCGGGCUCAACCUGGGAACUGCAUCCGAAACUGGCAGGCUUGAGUCUCGUAGAGGGGGGUAGAAUUCCAGGUGUAGCGGUGAAAUGCGUAGAGAUCUGGAGGAAUACCGGUGGCGAAGGCGGCCCCCUGGACGAAGACUGACGCUCAGGUGCGAAAGCGUGGGGAGCAAACA
rnacentral:rRNA from 1 species